ACUCAAAGGAAUAGACGGGGGCCCGCACAAGCGGUGGAUUAUGUGGUUUAAUUCGAAGCAACGCGCAGAACCUUACCUGGGCUUGAACUCCUACGAACCUGGUAGAGAUAUCGGGGUGCCCUUCGGGGAAUGUAGUGAGAGGCGCUGCAUGGCUGUCGUCAGCUCGUGUUGUGAAAUGUUGGGUUAAGUCUCGCAACGAGCGCAACCUCUAUCCUUAGUUGCCAGCAUUAAGUUGGGCACUCUAGGGAGACUGCCUGGGUUAACCAGGAGGAAGGUGGAGAUGACGUCAAGUCCUCAUGGCCCUUAUGUCCAGGGCUACACACGUAAUACAAUGGUCAGUACAGAGGGAUGCGAACUCGCGAGGGGGAGCUAAUCUCAAAAAGCUGAUCUCAGUCCGGAUUGGAGUCUGCAACUCGACUCCAUGAAGUUGGAAUCGCUAGUAAUCGUGGAUCAGCACGCCACGGUGAAUACGUUCCCGGGCCUUGCACACACCGCCCGU
rnacentral:rRNA from 1 species